rnacentral:rRNA from 1 species
GAUGAACGCUGGCGGCGUGCCUAAUACAUGCAAGUAGAACGCUGAAGGAGGAGCUUGCUCUUUCCGGAUGAGUUGCGAACGGGUGAGUAACGCGUAGGUAACCUGCCUGGUAGCGGGGGAUAACUAUUGGAAACGAUAGCUAAUACCGCAUAACAGUAGAUAUUGCAUGAUAUUUGCUUGAAAGGGGCAAUUGCUCCACUACCAGAUGGACCUGCGUUGUAUUAGCUAGUUGGUGAGGUAACGGCUCACCAAGGCGACGAUACAUAGCCGACCUGAGAGGGUGAUCGGCCGCACUGGGACUGAGACACGGCCCAGACUCCUACGGGAGGCAGCAGUAGGGAAUCGUCGGCAAUGGACGGAAGUCUGACCGAGCAACGCCGCGUGAGUGAAGAAGGUUGUCGGAUCGUAAAGCUCUGUUGUAAGAGAAGAACGAGUGUGAGAGUGGAAAGUUCACACUGUGACGGUAUCUUACCAGAAAGGGACGGCUAACUACGUG